GAUGAACGCUAGCGACAGGCCUAACACAUGCAAGUCGAGGGGUAGCAGGAUGUAGCAAUACAUCGCUGACGACCGGCGCACGGGUGAGUAACGCGUAUGCAACCUACCUUCUACAGGGGGAUAGCCCGGAGAAAUCCGGAUUAAUACCCCAUAAAACAGGGACUCCGCAUGGAGAUAUUUGUUAAAGAUUAAUCGGUAGAAGAUGGGCAUGCGUUCCAUUAGCCAGUUGGUGAGGUAACGGCUCACCAAAGCAACGAUGGAUAGGGGAACUGAGAGGGUUAUCCCCCACACUGGAAAUGGGACACGGACCAGACUCCUACGGGAGGCAGCAGUGAGGAAUAUUGGUCAAUGGGCGCGAGCCUGAACCAGCCAAGUCGCGUGAAGGAAGACUGCCUUAUGGGUUGUAAACUUCUUUUAUAUGAGAAUAAAAAGAGUUACGUGUAACUUAUUGCAAGUAUCAUAUGAAUAAGCAUCGGCUAACUCCGUGCCAGCAGCCGCCGUAA
rnacentral:rRNA from 1 species